rnacentral:rRNA from 1 species
UACGAAGGGGGCAAGCGUUGUUCGGAUUUACUGGGCGUAAAGGGCGCGUAGGCGGUCUUACAAGUCAGGCGUGAAAGUCCCGGGCUUAACCUGGGGACUGCGUUUGAUACUGUAAGGCUUGAAUGUGAGAGAGGAUGGCGGAAUUCCCAGUGUAGAGGUGAAAUUCGUAGAUAUUGGGAAGAACACCAGUGGCGAAGGCGGCCAUCUGGCUCAUGAUUGACGCUGAGGCGCGAAAGCGUGGGGAGCAAACAGG